CCUCAGUUACCUGGGCAAGGGAUCAUGAAGAGACAGUGGGGAGCCCUGCUGGGGCUUCUGUGGGUCCAGAUUUGCUGGGUGGGAGGAGUGAAGGUGGAGCAGAGCCCUUCAGUCUUGAAGCUCCAGGAAGGAGCCAACUCUACUCUGAGGUGCAAUUUUUCUGACACAGUGAGCCGUGUGCAGUGGUUCCAGCAGAAUCCCGGAGGCAGCCUCACCACGCUGUUUUCCAUAACUUCAGGGACGAAGCAGAAAGGAAGGCUGAGUUCCACAGUGAAUUUUAAGGAACGGUAUAGUACCCUACACAUCGCAGCCUCCCAGCUGGAAGACGCAGCCGCCUACCUCUGUGCGGUGGAGGCACAGUGCUCCCCGGUGAUCUGCAGCCUGUGCCCAAACUGCAGCUGCCUCAGCCCCGCCCCUCCGCAGGGCUACACCGUGCAAGUACCUUGUUACCUCUUUGGGAUUCCAGAUUCAUACUUCAGCACUUUUUUCUUCCGAAGAUCAGAUCCUUUAGGACUAUCCUUGUUGCUGAGCAAAGGAAAGCUGUCUAAUACAAGCUGCAGCACUUAG